AAUUCGUUUACCCCUUAAUAGGUUAGUACAUUUAUCAUUAAUUUGCAUUGUCAUACCAUGCUUUGAAGCAGGCGCCAUGUGGAUUUUGCAUUUCAUUAUCGAUGAUCCAACAAGCUAAAUGGCAAACUUCAUGGGCCAAAGUAUUGUAAAGCCGUUCUUUUGUGACGAUUACUUUAUCAGAUAAUUCAAUGUAUGCGUAUGUCUUUUUCCCAAGUGGCGCGUCCUUGUUAUUUCGCUUAAGGUUAGCCCUACCAGCAGUAGUGCUAAAAGAUUUGGACCAAACUAUUCCAAUCUCCUUCUUUUCAAGCGAAGAAGUAAGCCGUCCCUGAAACACUUCGUCUUCUAAACGCGCAAGAAAGCACUUAGCCAACAUACCACGUUCUUUUAUAAACGACUUUCGUUUAGCAGCUGAAGAAAUUUGGGGCGCUUUUUCUUUUAAUUUUAAUACAGAUUGAUAUUUUUCAUUGACCGCAAUCCCCGUCGAGAUAACAUUUUUAUCCUCUGUAUUGUUUUCACGGUUACAAUCACGAUAUUGAGACAAAUGCGACGCUCUAAGGGUUUUGAAGUUCCGUUGGGAAAUAUUUGAAGAUAUAGCACUACCAAAAUUUUGACCGUUUUCUGAAAUGUGUUGUUUGAAAGGACAUUUAUCAUGAAUACUUGUUGAACAAGUAGAUGAAUUGAUCGGGCUUGCUAGCAAGGGAAUACUAAAUAUUGUUAUAAUUUGUUCUUAUAUAUUAUUUUCUUACUAGUUAAUAAACUCAAUAUCGUCUUCCUCGUCGUUUAGUGACAUGCUGUUUGAAACUUGCAUU